AUUGAACGCUGGCGGCAGGCUUAACACAUGCAAGUCGAGCGGAGCGAGGGUGCUUGCACCUUAGCUUAGCGGCGGACGGGUGAGUAAUGCUUAGGAAUCUGCCUAUUAGUGGGGGACAACAUUCCGAAAGGGAUGCUAAUACCGCAUACGCCCUACGGGGGAAAGCAGGGGAUCUUCGGACCUUGCGCUAAUAGAUGAGCCUAAGUCGGAUUAGCUAGUUGGUGGGGUAAAGGCCUACCAAGGCGACGAUCUGUAGCGGGUCUGAGAGGAUGAUCCGCCACACUGGGACUGAGACACGGCCCAGACUCCUACGGGAGGCAGCAGUGGGGAAUAUUGGACAAUGGGCGGAAGCCUGAUCCAGCCAUGCCGCGUGUGUGAAGAAGGCCUUUUGGUUGUAAAGCACUUUAAGCGAGGAGGAGGCUACUAGUAUUAAUACUACUGGAUAGUGGACGUUACUCGCAGAAUAAGCACCGGCUAACUCUGUGCCAGCCGCCGCAGUAA
rnacentral:rRNA from 1 species